ensembl:lncRNA
UUCUGGCUGUGCCGGGUGGAGAUUAUAACAGAACAUGACCAAGAUGUUCAAAUGUUCAUAAAUGACCAGCAUGGUCGUAUAAUAAUAAGGCAGAACAGUUGAAACUGGAGCAGCAGCACGGUCAGGUGGACUGGGGACAGCAAGGAGUCAUCAUGUCAGAUAGUCCUGGGGCAUGGUCCUAGGGCUCAGGUCAGUUGAAACUGGAGCAGCAGCAUGGCCAGGUGGACUGGGGACAGCAAGGAGUCAUCAUGUCAGAUAGUCCUGGGGCACGGUCCUAUGGCUCAGGUCCUCUGAGAGAGAGAGAGAGAAAGAGAGAAUUUACAUUUACAAUUAGAAUCCUUCCCCCUAUUUAGCAAUUAGAAUCCUUCCCCCUAUUUAGCAUUUAGAAUCCUUCCCCCUAUUUAGCAUUUAGAAUCCUUCCCCCUAUUUACAUUUAGAAUCCUUCCCCCUAUUUAGCAUUUAGAAUCCUUC